rnacentral:lncRNA from 1 species
GAGGAAGAUGGGAGUGGAGAUGGUGUUACUUUGUUCUGUGCACUGUGAAAAGAUAUGCCCUGCUUUAUACAAAAAUUGCCAUGGUGUCUUCUGCAUGUGACAAAGAUCUUGAACCAUAGUGUGAACAUUGUCAGUGUUUGACAUUCACAGUGGUCCAGUUGUAUGAACACUGUGCCUUCUCCUUGUCACUUGGAAAUCACCCAGCAGCAUGCUGUCCACGAUAGUCCAUGCAUGUCCCUGUUCUCCUACACACAGUAACACGGUGAGGGCCAUGGUUGGCUCUGGGAUGGGGGACAGGUGUCAUUCCAGCACUGGUGUCAUUUCCGUCUGCUCUGGUGAUGGUACACAGUAGAAAGUCAGCUGUUUGAUUGCUAACCCAGAUCACUUUUCUGUUUUCUCUACUUGACUGCUGACAAGUUUAACAAAGUCUGUGACUCUUCUCCUUCCUGCUUGGGUAAGAAUAACGGUGUUAAAACCACCUCAUGUAAUCCUUCACAUUGCAUGUUUGUUCUGUUUCUCCCAGUGCAUUUUAAUGUUUAUAUAUUUUUCUUCCAUAACAUAAUCUAGAAAGGUUCUCCAUGUUUUGACAAUUGUCAGAAUGUUGACCUUUAACUCCGUAUUGGAGUCAUACUCACUAUUUUAAAAGUCACUCUCUAAAGUACUUUCUAGAAAUGAGAAGGACUCACUUUCUAGAAUUGAGAGCUUUAUAUUUGCUUCUUUGUUGUCAGGUGCUUUGCAGUGAACUCUGCAAGAGCUGCCACUUGUUCUUGUCUCUGGCUUCUUGGCUGCAGUCAGUGUGUGGCCCGCCUCCUCUGUGCCAUGUCCUGGCUUUGCUAACACUCCCAUCUCGCUGCAGUGUAACACAUCUAACUUUUGCUUCUAUCCCAUUUCACUCAUGUUGCAGGAACCAGGAGGGGUUGGGACCCAUAGUUCAUGAUCGAAAAUCUCAGACAUUGCCUGUUUCCCGUAACAGAACAGGAAUGAUGCAUGCCAGAUUGCAGCAGCUGGGCAGCCUGGAUAACUCUGUCACUUUUAACCACACUCAAAGCAAGUAGGAUGAAGAGCGCCUGGCACAGUUCCCUUUCCUGGAGGAGAGUCCUCAGCACUGGGGAGUGACAUAAUGUGGAACAUGGUCAACUAUGGCACCAAUCCUAAAACCCCUAUUCCCAUAACAAAAUGUGGCAGGUUUAAUAGCCAAACAGUUUCAGUAUUUUUAAUUUUUUUGGAUUAAUUACCUUAACCACUUUAUCACUAAUGUUUCCCUGCAUCUCCUAAGAGCAUCUGGGACAGAUUCAUUUUGCUCCUCUGGAUCUUGUGCAUGUAAUUGAUCGAGCGUCCACAUUCUGACACUCCAGCUCUGAAUGUAUGUUAAUCUUUACACCACUGUGAAAACAUAAAGUCCAUGAAUCAAUUUGUGAGGGUGUGGAAAAACGUCCAAUAACAAAGUGACUUUUUCUGUGUUUUCAGUGUGAGAAA